AGGGCAAGUCUGGUGCCAGCAGCCGCGGUAAUUCCAGCUCCAAUAGCGUAUAUUAAAGUUGUUGCAGUUAAAAAGCUCGUAGUUGAAUUUCGGGGUUCUACCGUUGGUCGGGCUAUUGUCUGUACUGGCGUGUAGAAUUUCUACCUUCUGGAGAACUAUCAUGUUAUUAAUUUAGCGUGGUAGGAAACCAGGACCUUUACCUUGAAAAAAUUAGAGUGUUCAGAGCAGGCUUAUGUCUGAAUACAUUAGCAUGGAAUAAUAAAAUAGGACGGUGGUCCUGUUUUGUUGGUUUCUGAAUCACCGUAAUGAUUAAUAGGGAUAGUUGGGGGCAUUAGUAUUCAAUUGUCAGAGGUGAAAUUCUUGGAUUUAUUGAAGACUAACUACUGCGAAAGCAUUUGCCAAGGAUGUUUUCAUUAAUCAAGAACGAAAGUUAGGGGAUCGAAGACGAUCAGAUACCGUCGUAGUCUUAACCAUAAACUAUGCCGACUAGGGAUCGGACGAUGUUAACUUUUCUUGACUCGUUCGGCGCCUUACGGGAA
rnacentral:rRNA from 1 species